rnacentral:tRNA from 1 species
GUGGCUAUAGCUCAGUGGUAGAGUGUGUGCUUAGCAUGCACGAGGUCCUGGGUUCAAUCCCCAAAACCACC